GACGAACGCUGGCGACGUGCUUAACACAUGCAAGUCGAACGGAAAGACCCUGCUUUUGUGGGGUGCUCGAGUGGCGAACGGGUGAGUAACACGUGAGUAACCUGCCCUUGACUUUGGGAUAACUUCAGGAAACUGGGGCUAAUACCGGAUAGGAGCUCCUGCUGCAUGGUGGGGGUUGGAAAGUUUCGGCGGUUGGGGAUGGACUCGCGGCUUAUCAGCUUGUUGGUGGGGUAGUGGCUUACCAAGGCUUUGACGGGUAGCCGGCCUGAGAGGGUGACCGGCCACAUUGGGACUGAGAUACGGCCCAGACUCCUACGGGAGGCAGCAGUGGGGAAUAUUGCACAAUGGGCGGAAGCCUGAUGCAGCAACGCCGCGUGCGGGAUGACGGCCUUCGGGUUGUAAACCGCUUUCGCCUGUGACGAAGCGUGAGUGACGGUAAUGGGUAAAGAAGCACCGGCUAACUACGUG
rnacentral:rRNA from 1 species